rnacentral:rRNA from 1 species
CAGCAGCCGCGGUAAUACGGAGGGGGCUAGCGUUGUUCGGAAUUACUGGCGUAAAGCGCACGUAGGCGGCUUGGUAAGUUAGAGGUGAAAGCCCGGAGCUCAACUCCGGAAUUGCCUUUAAGACUGCCGAGCUAGCAGGUGAGAGAGGUAAGUGGAAUUCCGAGUGUAGAGGUGAAAUUCGUAAAUAUUCGGAAGAACACCAGUGGCGAAGGCGGCUUACUGGCUCAUACUGGACGCUGAGGUGCGAAGGCGUGGGGAGCAAACAGGAUUAGAUACCCCUGUAGUCCCUGUCUCUUAUACA